UUUACCUCAAGUGAUAAAAGGUUCUGUAAAGGGGGAGUUUAUGGUGGAUUCUAUUUCUUUAACUGGGAUAUCUUCAGUUUCUGAAAAGGGAAUGUUAAGAUUGUUUGAAUAAUUGAAUGUUUGUGGAGAAUGAAUGGUGAAUUGUGUUAAGUGUUAACUUGGUGUAUACUUGCUCCAGUCUUUCCGCAGACCAAAGAUAUCCAGCAAUCAUGCUUUUGUUAUUAAAUGUAUUUCAGGGGGAUUUCGGGAAAUGUUAUGAUAGAUGCACGUUCCACAGGGAAAUAUUAUCACUUUGUAAGGCUUAUGUGACGUGCUGCUUCCCACAUUACAUUAGAAUGUGCUUUACAAACUCAUCCAAACAUCACUCUUAUUGGAGAAGAGGUUGCAUCAAAGAAAUUGACACUAAAAAAGGUUACAAAUUACAUAGCAGAUGUAAUCUGUAAACGUGCAGAUCUUGGUUAUAACUAUGGUGUUAUUCUCAUACCUGAAGGACUUAUUGAUUCCCUGAGGUAAAAAAGUGCAAAAGACGAGAAUACCCUUGUCAGGCAUUCUCAUACUAAUAAUCAUUGUUGAUGACUUGUAGGUGCAACAACUGAUUUCUGAAUUAUAUGAAAUAUUGGCAAAUGAAACUAUUGAUGAGGGAGGAAUUGUAGA